rnacentral:rRNA from 1 species
UACGUAGGGUGCAAGCGUUAAUCGGAAUUACUGGGCGUAAAGCGUGCGCAGGCGGUGAUGUAAGACAGAUGUGAAAUCCCCGGGCUCAACCUGGGAACUGCAUUUGUGACUGCAUCGCUGGAGUACGGCAGAGGGGGAUGGAAUUCCGCGUGUAGCAGUGAAAUGCGUAGAUAUGCGGAGGAACACCGAUGGUGAAGGCAAUCCCCUGGGCCUGUACUGACGCUCAUGCACGAAAGCGUGGGGAGCAAACAGG